rnacentral:rRNA from 1 species
CCUACGGGAGACAGCAGUGAGGCAUAUUGGUCAAUGGGAGGAAUCCUGAACCAGCCAUGCCGCGUGCAGGACGACGGCUCUACGAGUUGUAAACUGCUUUUGUACCGGGGUAAAAUGCUCUACGAGUAGGGUUUUGAAAGUACGGUACGAAUAAGGAUCGGCUAACUCCGUGCCAGCAGCCGCGGUAAUACGGAGGAUCCGAGCGUUAUCCGGAUACAUUGGGUUUAAAGGGUGCGUAGGUUGUUUUAUAAGUUAGCAGUGAAAUACCGAUGCUCAACAUCGGGGCUGCCGCUGAUACUGUAGGACGAGAGAUCGGAUGCAGCAGGCGGAAUGUGUAGUGUAGCGGUGAAAUGCAUAGAUAGUACACAGAACACCGAUUGCGAAGGCAGCUUGCUAGGCCGGAUCUGACACUGAUGCACGAAAGCGUGGGGAUCGAACAGGAUUAGAUACCCGAGUAGUC